GACGGAGGAUGCAAGCGUUAUCCGGCAUGAUUGGGCGUAAAGCGUCCGCAGGUGGCAGUUCAAGUCUGCUGUCAAAGACCGGGGCUUAACUUCGGAAAGGCAGUGGAAACUGAACAGCUAGAGUAUGGUAGGGGCAGAGGGAAUUCCUGGUGUAGCGGUGAAAUGCGUAGAUAUCAGGAAGAACAUCGGUGGCGAAGGCGCUCUGCUGGACCAUAACUGACACUCAGGGACGAAAGCUAGGGGAGCGAAUGGG
rnacentral:rRNA from 1 species